UACGGAGGGGGCUAGCGUUGUUCGGAAUUACUGGGCGUAAAGCGCACGUAGGCGGCUUUGUAAGUUAGAGGUGAAAGCCCAGGGCUCAACCCUGGAAUUGCCUUUAAGACUGCAUCGCUUGAACCAUGGAGAGGUGAGUGGAAUUCCGAGUGUAGAGGUGAAAUUCGUAGAUAUUCGGAAGAACACCAGUGGCGAAGGCGACUCACUGGACAUGUAUUGACGCUGAGGUGCGAAAGCGUGGGGAGCAAACAGG
rnacentral:rRNA from 1 species